UCCAAAUGAAUUGUCUUGCCUUAUGAGUC
rnacentral:piRNA from 1 species